UUGCUCAUCAGCGAGCAAUCAACCUGGGCUCAAAAGGAGUGGCGAUCCAGAAGGAGGCGUCAACUCGUUGUCUCACAAGUGUGGAAAUGUUUCUACCUGAGUUUCUGUGGGCUUAAUGUCUCCUGCCUUGUUCAGAUGAAUGUGGAAGUUCAAGCCUCAAAGAACGUUGGCUGUAUGUCUUUCUGCCUCCCUCCUGGACCCGGGCUUCUGGAAAUAACGUUUUAUCAAGCUUCUGAGAACCAUCCACCUGCCUGUCCACCCUCCCAUGGAUCAUCGUUUCCCUAUGGGGCCCGCUGAAUGGAGUAAAGCACAAAGUCAGAAGAACGAGGAAGUACUUUUCUCCGCUGCUGGACCCUCGUGUCAACCUCAACCAUCGUGUGAGAUCCCAAUCCUGUCCGCUGACCCAGUCCGGAUUCCAGAACGAACUGUUUGUGAAGAAAUAAACUGUUUAAACGCUG